rnacentral:rRNA from 1 species
ACUCAAAGGAAUUGACGGGGGCCCGCACAAGCGGAGGAACAUGUGGUUUAAUUCGAUGAUACGCGAGGAACCUUACCCGGGCUUAAAUUGCAGAGGAAUAAUCUGGAAACAGAUUAGUCUUCGGACUUCUGUGAAGGUGCUGCAUGGUUGUCGUCAGCUCGUGCCGUGAGGUGUCGGCUUAAGUGCCAUAACGAGCGCAACCCUUGUGGUCAGUUACUAACAGGUAAUGCUGAGGACUCUGGCCAGACUGCCAUCGUAAGAUGUGAGGAAGGCGGGGAUGACGUCAAAUCAGCACGGCCCUUACGUCCGGGGCUACACACGUGUUACAAUGGGAGGUACAGAAGGCUGCGACCCGGCGACGGGCAGCUAAUCCCAAAAGCCUCUCUCAGUUCGGACUGGAGUCUGCAACCCGACUCCACGAAGCUGGAUUCGCUAGUAAUCGCGCAUCAGCCACGGCGCGGUGAAUACGUUCCCGGGCCUUGUACACACCGCCCGUCAAGCCAUG